rnacentral:rRNA from 1 species
ACUCCUACGGGAGGCAGCAGUGGGGAAUAUUGCACAAUGGGGGGAACCCUGAUGCAGCCAUGCCGCGUGUAUGAAGAAGGCCUUCGGGUUGUAAAGUACUUUCGGUGAUGAGGAAGGUGGUGUAUAUAAUAGGUGCAUCAAUGACGUUAAUACAGA